AUAAUUUACGUCACGCAGCAGCCGCGGAUAAUGACGUAGGGUGCGAGCGUUAAUCGGAAUUACUGGGCUGUAAGAGCGUGCGCAGGCGGUUUAUUGUAAUGACAGGCGUGAAAUCCACCGGGUCUCAACCUGGAGAACGUGCGUUUGUGACUGCAAGGCUAGAGUACGGCAGAGGGGGUGUGGAAUUCCACGUGUAGCAGUGAAAUGCGUAGAGAUGUGGAGGAACACCAAUGGCGAAGGCAGCCCCCUGGGUCGAUACUGACGCUCAUGCACGAAAGCGUGGGUAGCAAACAGGAUUAGAUACCCUGGUAGUCCACGCCCUAAACGAUGUCAACUAGGUGUUGGGUGGGUAAAACCAUUUAGUACCGGAGCUAACGCGUGAAGUUGACCGCCUGGGGAGUACGGCCGCAAGGUUAAAACUCAAAGGAAUUGACGGGGACCCGCACAAGCGGUGGAUGAUGUGGAUUAAUUCGAUGCAACGCGAAAAACCUUACCUACCCUUGACAUGUCCAGAAGCCUGAAGAGAUUUGGGUGUGCCCGAAAGGGAACUGGAACACAGGUGCUGCAUGGCUGUCGUCAGCUCGUGUCGUGAGAUGUUGGGUUAAGUCCCGCAACGAGCGCAACCCUUGUCGUUAAUUGCCAUCAUUUGGUUGGGCACUUUAACGAGACUGCCGGUGACAAACCGGAGGAAGGUGGGGAUGACGUCAAGUCCUCAUGGCCCUUAUGGGUAGGGCUUCACACGUCAUACAAUGGUCGGUACAGAGGGUUGCCAAGCCGCGAGGUGGAGCCAAUCCCAGAAAGCCGAUCGUAGUCCGGAUCGCAGGCUGCAACUCGCCUGCGUGAAGUCGGAAUCGCUAGUAAUCGCGGAUCAGCAUGUCGCGGUGAAUACGUUCCCGGGUCUUGUACACACCGCCCGUCACACCAUGGGAGCGGGUUCCGCCAGAAGUAGGUAGCCUAACCGCAAGGGGGGCGCUUACCACGGCGGGGUUCGUGACUGGGGUGAAGUCGUAACAAGGUAGCCGU
rnacentral:rRNA from 1 species